GAUGAACGCUGGCGGCGUGCCUAAUACAUGCAAGUCGAGCGAAUGGAUUAAGAGCUUGCUCUUAUGAAGUUAGCGGCGGACGGGUGAGUAACACGUGGGUAACCUGCCCAUAAGACUGGGAUAACUCCGGGAAACCGGGGCUAAUACCGGAUAACAUUUUGAACCGCAUGGUUCGAAAUUGAAAGGCGGCUUCGGCUGUCACUUAUGGAUGGACCCGCGUCGCAUUAGCUAGUUGGUGAGGUAACGGCUCACCAAGGCAACGAUGCGUAGCCGACCUGAGGGGGUGAUCGGCCACACUGGGACUGGGACACGGCCCAGACUCCUACGGGAGGCAGCAGUAGGGAAUCUUCCGCAAUGGACGAAAGUCUGACGGGGCAACGCCGCGUGAGUGAUGAAGGCUUUCGGGUCGUAAAACUCUGUUGUUAGGGAAGAACAAGUGCUAGUUGAAUAAGCUGGCACCUUGACGGUACCUAACCAGAAAGCCACGGCUAACUACGUGCCAGCCGCCGCGGUAA
rnacentral:rRNA from 1 species